GAUGAACGCUGGUUUGCGUGCCUAAUACAUGCAAGUCGAGCGAACGGACGAGAAGCUUGCUUCUCUGAUGUUAGCGGCGGACGGGUGAGUAACACGUGGAUAACCUACCUAUAAGACUGGGAUAACUUCGGGAAACCGGAGCUAAUACCGGAUAGUAUUUUGAACCGCAUGGUUCAAAAGUGAAAGACGGUCUUGCUGUCACUUAUAGAUGGAUCCGCGCUGCAUUAGCUAGUUGGUAAGGUAACGGCUUACCAAGGCAACGAUGCAUAGCCGACCUGAGAGGGUGAUCGGCCACACUGGAACUGAGACACGGUCCAGACUCCUACGGGAGGCAGCAGUAGGGAAUCUUCCGCAAUGGGCGAAAGCCUGACGGAGCAACGCCGCGCGAGUGAUGAAGGUCUUCGGAUCGUAAAACUCUGUUAUUAGGGAAGAACAUAUGUGUAAGUAACUGUGCACAUCUUGACGGUACCUAAUCAGAAAGCCACGGCUAACUACGUGCCAGCAGCCGCGGUAAUACGUAGGUGGCAAGCGUUAUCCGGAAUUAUUGGGCGUAAAGCGCGCGUAGGCGGUUUUUUAAGUCUGAUGUGAAAGCCCACGGCUCAACCGUGGAGGGUCAUUGGAAACUGGAAAACUUGAGUGCAGAAGAGGAAAGUGGAAUUCCAUGUGUAGCGGUGAAAUGCGCAGAGAUAUGGAGGAACACCAGUGGCGAAGGCGACUUUCUGGUCUGUAACUGACGCUGAUGUGCGAAAGCGUGGGGAUCAAACAGGAUUAGAUACCCUGGUAGUCCACGCCGUAAACGAUGAGUGCUAAGUGUUAGGGGGUUUCCGCCCCUUAGUGCUGCAGCUAACGCAUUAAGCACUCCGCCUGGGGAGUACGACCGCAAGGUUGAAACUCAAAGGAAUUGACGGGGACCCGCACAAGCGGUGGAGCAUGUGGUUUAAUUCGAAGCAACGCGAAGAACCUUACCAAAUCUUGACAUCCUUUGACAACUCUAGAGAUAGAGCCUUCCCCUUCGGGGGACAAAGUGACAGGUGGUGCAUGGUUGUCGUCAGCUCGUGUCGUGAGAUGUUGGGUUAAGUCCCGCAACGAGCGCAACCCUUAAGCUUAGUUGCCAUCAUUAAGUUGGGCACUCUAAGUUGACUGCCGGUGACAAACCGGAGGAAGGUGGGGAUGACGUCAAAUCAUCAUGCCCCUUAUGAUUUGGGCUACACACGUGCUACAAUGGACAAUACAAAGGGCAGCGAAACCGCGAGGUCAAGCAAAUCCCAUAAAGUUGUUCUCAGUUCGGAUUGUAGUCUGCAACUCGACUACAUGAAGCUGGAAUCGCUAGUAAUCGUAGAUCAGCAUGCUACGGUGAAUACGUUCCCGGGUCU
rnacentral:rRNA from 1 species